UACAUGUUGUACAGGUCUGAUACUGUCGUGGUCAUCACUACGCUUGAGUCUCGGGUUCGAGGUAGGUAUAUAUGUUGUACAGGUUCGAGGUAGGUAUACAUGUUAUACAGGUUAGAGGUAGGUAUACAUGUUGGACAGGUUAGAGGUAGGUAUACAUGUUGGACAGGUUAGAGGUAGGUAUACAUGUUGUGCAGGUUCGAGGUAGGUAUACAUGUUGUACAGGUUCGAGGUAGGUUUACAUGUUGUACAGGUUAGAGGUAGGUAUACAUGUUGUACAGGUUAGAGGUAGGUAUACAUGUUGUACAGGUUCGAGGUAGGUAUACAUGUUGUACAGGUCUGAUACCGUCGUGGUCAUCACUACACUGGAGGCUUGGGUCAGAGGUAGGUAUACAUGCUGGCGGUCUUGAAGAAUGAAUAAUAUGCAAAUUGUGUACACAAAGUUUUAAAAAUGUUGAUAUUGUCUUCCAUUGCUGCUGUUGAUCUAUUCCAAUUAUUCUAAUUUGUAAAAUUCUACAUUUUGUUGUCCAGUGUAGACAAAGAAAUGUAACUAAGACCCUUAUAUCUCCUGUGUGUGUUUAUAAGCUGGCAGCCAUAAAGAGUACAAACUGCUUUAACAGAAACAAUUUAAGGCUGCACCUUCUUAUACAUUUUAAAAGAAAAACUUCACUUCAAAAUAUGUUUUUAAAAUAUUUUCUCAACUUGACACUUGCCCCUCC